ACAACUUGGACCGCAUGGUCCGAGUUUGAAAGAUGGCUUCGGCUAUCACUUUUGGAUGGUCCCGCGGCGUAUUAGCUAGAUGGUGGGGUAACGGCUCACCAUGGCAAUGAUACGUAGCCGACCUGAGAGGGUAAUCGGCCACAUUGGGACUGAGACACGGCCCAAACUCCUACGGGAGGCAGCAGUAGGGAAUCUUCCACAAUGGACGAAAGUCUGAUGGAGCAACGCCGCGUGAGUGAAGAAGGGUUUCGGCUCGUAAAACUCUGUUGUUAAAGAAGAACAUAUCUGAGAGUAACUGUUCAGGUAUUGACGGUAUUUAACCAGAAAGCCACGGCUAACUACGUGCCAGCAGCCGCGGUAAUACGUAGGUGGCAAGCGUUGUCC
rnacentral:rRNA from 1 species